CUACUGAGAGUGUCCAGUGACAAGGGCUGGACACUAUAGAGAGACACUUUGGAGGUGUUUGGGGAUUGGGGUACACCAAGUGUUACCUACAAGACCCAGUAAAGGCUGGCAGAGCUUCUGAGGAGAUUGGAUGGAUGGCUAACAGACGGGAGUGACAGCUGUCUUGUCUUGGUGUACGGCAGGCAUGGGUGGAAGAAGAGCCUAUAUAUGUGGACAUGGCCUCUGAGGGAUUGUCUGAGGAUAGCGAAGCUGAGAGCCAGCCAUUAGACCCUGAUUCAUGAAAAGAUGGUGACAUUAUUACGAUAAACAAGUCAGCACCAUACAGGAUCACAGCCCAGGUAUGUGGCAAGUGGCCGUCAGAUGUAGAGCCAACACAGCAUGAUGAGCUUUUGAAAGACAUCUUCAGAGUAUGAAGAAGAUGACUAGAACGGGCCUUUGGGAAGAAUAAACAUGAUAUGCACCUGCUGCUUUUACAUAAAGCAAGAUUUUAAAAAGUAAGGAAGUUAACCAGCAGAGCUGUGAAGAUGAUGUUAUGACCACCGUUAUAAGGGCUAUUGUAGUAAACACCAUUUACCACUGUUUGAAAGAACAGCUUGCUGAUAACUGUGCAGCCUGCCUGCACAAUAGAUGCUCCCAGUCAACGCUGCCAUGAUUGUAUGUUUUGGGGUCACUCAGAAAUAUUUCACUAGAUUAGAUGUAUUUCUUCUAAACUGCAUGUGGCAUGGGUCCUAAAUAUAAUUAUGUCCCAAAGCUACAAACUGAAAUGAUUUAACAUGGCCAAUAAAACUGUAACCAAAGUUGUCAAAAUGAUGAUAGAGGUAGCAAAGACACCAGACCCAAUGGCAUUGCUGAUAGACCUUGCAAAUAAGGUGUCAUCAAAAAUUGGCCAAAUGGUGUGUAGGAGGAUUCAUAAAAUAGAUUAUAAAACUUUUUACAUGACAAAACCUUUUCCUAAAGGGCCCUUUAAAUCACUGCCAGAGCCCUGCCACCGCUACCCCACGGCUUCAGCA